AGGCUUUUUAAAACCAUUUAACAAAAAAACAAACAAACAAACAAAAAAACCAAACCAAACCAAACCUUCUCCUCUUGCAGCAUAGGACCUGAGAUUUGUCUCCCCACCUGAAGAACCAAAGGAGGAGAGCGAUUUCCUGGGACUUCAGCUGGUGCCCUGCAACCUGCCAACCCUGCCUUGGAAGAGAAGGAAGGAUGAUGUUUAGUUUAACCCUACCUGAUGCACCCCAGCUGUCUGGAACUGCCAUCAUCCUCAGUUAUAUGAAUCUCUCAUGGCCCAGCUGAUGGGGAAGACUGGAUUUGUACCCUAAUGUAGCUAUUCUCAACUUUUUUUUAACCACAACCAUCAACACAAUAAGAAAGAAAUAUAGGCUGAAUCAGGAUUGUAACAGUUGCAUAACAAUUUAUUUAUUUUAUUUAAUUAUUUUAUUUAUAUCCUGCCUAUCUAGUCAACUCGGACCACUCUAGGCGGCUAACAGUCAGCAAAUAAUAAAAAUAAACAUAUAUAAAGCA
rnacentral:lncRNA from 1 species